rnacentral:rRNA from 1 species
ACAGGGAUUGCCCUAGUAACGGCGAGUGAAGCGGCAACAGCUCAAAUUUGAAAUCUGGCGUCUUUGGCGUCCGAGUUGUAAUUUGCAGAGGGCGCUUUGGCAUUGGCAGCGGUCCAAGUUCCUUGGAACAGGACGUCACAGAGGGUGAGAAUCCCGUACGUGGUCGCUAGCCUUUACCGUGUAAAGCCCCUUCGACGAGUCGAGUUGUUUGGGAAUGCAGCUCUAAAUGGGAGGUAAAUUUCUUCUAAAGCUAAAUACUGGCCAGAGACCGAUAGCGCACAAGUAGAGUGAUCGAAAGAUGAAAAGCACUUUGGAAAGAGAGUUAAAAAGCACGUGAAAUUGUUGAAAGGGAAGCGCUUGCAGCCAGACUUGCCUGUAGUUGCUCAUCCGGGUUUCUACCCGGUGCACUCUUCUAUAGGCAGGCCAGCAUCAGUUUGGGCGGUUGGAUAAAGGUCUCUGUCAUGUACCUCCUUUCGGGGAGAUCUUAUAGGGGAGACGACAUGCAACCAGCCUGGACUGAGGUCCGCGCAUCUGCUAGGAUGCUGGCGUAAUGGCUGUAAGCGGCCCGUCUUGAAACACGGACCAAGGAGUCUAACAUCUAUGCGAGUGUUUGGGUGUCAAGCCCGAACGCGUAAUGAAAGUGAACGGAGGUGGGAACCUUUCGGGGUGCACCAUCGACCGAUCCUGAUGUCUUCGGAUGGAUUUGAGUAAGAGCAUAGCUGUUGGGACCCGAAAGAUGGUGAACUAUGCUUGAAUAGGGUGAAGCCAGAGGAAACUCUGGUGGAGGCUCGCAGCGGUUCUGACGUGCAAAUCGAUCGUCAAAUUUGGGCAUAGGGGCGAAAGACUAAUCGAACUAUCUAGUAGCUGGUUCCUGCCGAAGUUUCCCUCAGGAUAGCAGUAACGUUUUCAGUUUUAUGAGGUAAAGCGAAUGAUUAGAGGCAUGGGGGUUGAAACAACCUU